CACGUUUCAAUAAAGCACAGAAAAAUUAUCUGUUUAAAUAUUAUUAACAGACAAACUUUGGUUCUUUAUCUACUACAGGGAUUCUGCAGGUUUCACAAACUCAAAUUUAAGACCUUUUUACAACCGCUAUGAAUGAAAUUUAAGACCCAAAUUGCCAAAGAAAAGUACAAAAGAAAAUUGUAUAUUUCAUAUAGUAGCAGUGCUGAGCUUUUUUGCACAGAAUGAACGUAACAUUUUAGGGGUUUUUAACAGAAAUAAGCAAAUAUCGUCCAGCCGACUGACAAUAAAUGGACACAUACCCUUGAUGGACGCAAAAGAGCUAGCUAGCAAGGUUACAGAACAGAAGUUCGAUGUCUGAGUGAGACUCAAAUGUUUGAGUGGAGAAAAAAAAAUUCAUAGAACAUACAAGAUUAAAUAGCUCUGCUACAAAGACCAUCGUUUAGCUAACAACCAUGCUAAUUGUGGCGAUAAUUAAACACGACAAAAUUUAAGACCUGUGAUUAAGGUAUUUAAGGCCAACUCACAUAAAAACAAUUUUAAGACAUUUUAAGGCCUCAACUUGAGACACAUUAAUUUAAGAUUUAAGACUGUGCGGACAGCGUGUGUUAGAGGACUACAGAGAUAUUGACUGGCUGGUCAGACACCAAGAACAACUGAAUGCACCGUUGCUAAGCGAUGACAGGUCACAUUAACAAAACCCCUCUUUAGCUAAUGAUGCUAACCAUGCAAACUGUGCUGAUAAGAUGUUGAACUACAUACUCAUUUACUCUCUUUUUAAAACAGUUGAACAUUGACACUGGAUGCUUCUUAAUAGCAUUCAUCCUACAACAAUGACCAUCAUUCUAAAGUCUUAUAAAAUCUGAAUACUGGCAAUCAGCCAUAUGUUUCUGAUCAGUUCUGAUUAAAUGUAGGCGUAGCAGAAAUGUACAAAACCCCCCUUUGCAUAUUAAGACCAUUUUAUGAUAACACAACCUCAGUAGGAGGGAUGUCGUUUUACCAAAUAUGUGUCAUCAUGAAAAGGACUGAGGUAGAACAGUGUGAGGCAAGAUGGAUGCUUUCCGUUAUCAUCUGAGUCACUAAAAGAGGAGGGAGCAGAGCUGAGUUACACUAAAGAUAACAUCGCAUUUGGUUUAACAGAAAUCCAUAACAGUUAGUCAUAUUCAGUACAUUAGCCUUUACUUCUGUUAAUUAUGACACAUAUUCACUUACAGCUAAUGAAGACAUCUCAUUUAAGGUCAGAAUAUCACAUCACAUCAGACCAAUAAAAAAAAAAAUACUUUCAAUACAAAAAUGUGGAUUUGAUAAAAAUGUCAGAACACUCAUUCCAAUUGUCUAAAGAUGACUGUACUUUUACAAAUGAUAUUUGAUGCAAUUAUAACAACUAACAUAACUGAAUAAUUAGCUUCCCUAUCUUCAUACUUCAACUGUUUUUAGAGGGAAACAUUUCUGUCCGUUCUACAAAUGGGAUCGACAUCUGCAGUAAAAACAGACGGGAUCAGAGAGAGGACAAAAUCCCUCUGAAAGCCACGGUUUGAAAUCCCCGAACCAGCCUCAACAUUAAAAUUAUACUAUGAGAAAAGCUGAUGUUUGUUUAGACAGUUUGCAUUCCCCGUUUUAAAAAAAAUAACGUUUCUAUAGACAGUGAUUCGUGCUAAAUGGGAAAGUCCAGAAACAUGAGCGCUGCAGCUGUGCUGGGUGAUGUAGUUCCUUCCUGGUUUGAUAAGCGGUGCCUCACAUGAGGAAGCUAACGGCCGACACUUUCAGAUAGAGGAAUGGAGUGUUAGCAGUAGCACUGACCCUCACACGGCCACAUUAGAGUAAACACUCUCUCUCUGGUUAAUCUGUGUUAGUGUGUGUGUGUUGGUUGGAUAGAAUAGAGAAACGUUAUCGUUACAGAAGCAAAUGUUAGUAGAUGCAGUCAGUACUUUAGGUCAGUUAGCCAAAAAUAAUAAGCACCACCUUAACGGCAACAUACAUUUCUGCACAUGCAAGUAAAUCAAAGUGGUUCAUAAUUUCCACACAGACAUGAACUUACUUAUUACUAAUUACAUUUUUUAAAAAUGUAAUAAAAAUUAUUUUUGAAAAAAGAUGACAGAUCUGUGCAACCACAAACUCCUCUUUACGAAUUACUAUUGGUUGAGCUGCUGGAGUCGCGCGCGUGCGUGUGCGCGUGUGUGUGUUUUCAGAGAAAGCAGCAGGGAUAGAGCGACCAAAGGGGAAUGACAACAUGUCAGCAGAGAGGAAUCUGGUA